GAUGAACGCUGGCGGCGUGCUUAACAUAUGCAAGUCGAGCGAGUGAGUUCUUCGGAACGAUCUAGCGGCGGACGGGUGAGUAACAUGUGGGCAACCUGCCUCAUAGAGGGGAAUAGCCUCCCGAAAGGGAGAUUAAUACCGCAUAACAUCGUUGAAGGGCAUCCUUCGAUGAUCAAAGGAGCAAUCCGCUAUGAGAUGGGCCCGCGGCGCAUUAGCUAGUUGGUGAGGUAACGGCUCACCAAGGCGACGAUGCGUAGCCGACCUGAGAGGGUGAUCGGCCACAGUGGGACUGGGACACGGCCCAGACUCCUACGGGAGGCAGCAGUGGGGAAUAUCGCACAAUGGGGGAAACCCUGAUGCAGCAACGCCGCGUGAGUGAUGACGGCCUUCGGGUUGUAAAGCUCUGUCUUUGGGGACGAUAAUGACGGUACCCAAGGAGGAAGUCACGGCUAACUACGUGCCAGCCGCCGCCGUAA
rnacentral:rRNA from 1 species